rnacentral:rRNA from 1 species
UAACCUGCUAACUAGUUACGCAAACUUUCGAGUUUGUGGAUAACUUCUUAGAGGGACUAUCUGUGUCUAGCAGAUGGAAGUUUGAGGCAAUAACAGGUCUGUGAUGCCCUUAGAUGUUCUGGGCCGCACGCGCGCUACACUGACAAAAUCAACGAGCAUCAUCCUUGGCCGGAAGGUCUGGGUAAUCUUUUGAAACUUUGUCGUGCUGGGGAUAGACCCUUGCAAUUAUUGGUCUUCAACGAGGAAYUCCUAGUAAGCGCGAGUCAUCAGCUCGCGUUGAUUACGUCCCUGCCCUUUGUACACACCGCCCGUCGCU